ensembl:lncRNA
GCCAUGUCGAUAACCAAAAGUGUCACCAUCAACCAAGCAGCGGAGUGUAGUCGCGGCGGUGAAGAAACACCACAAAAAGCCAGAGUGAGACGUCCCUCGCGCACUCUGCGGCGCGGCGGGCCCUGUGAUUGGUCCGGCUCCGGGUAUGACGUCAGUGCGGGAGCGAGUAGAGGAAGCGCGCAGCCCGGAGGAGAGGCAGAAGCUGGAGGACUGAGGAUGCGAGCGGACUCACCUGAGAGCAGACUCGCGCGGACUCUCUGUCUCUCUCACAAGGGCCCGAUGUCCACGCAGAGGAGGAGCCGUGUGGGACAAUUGGUUGCGACCUUUAAGUGGAGGACAUUUCUCCCCAGAGUCCGCUUUGCCUCCGGAAGAGGUAAGAGAUGCUGUGGAGACGCACGGCGUUUGCUUUUUGGACCUCUUGUCAUGCCGCGUCCAUGUGAUGCACACGCAGGGCUGUGCACGGGAUGCAUGUUAAGUCUGACUUUUAGAUAUUCACUUUUUGUUUUUCGUAACGUGUUUUUGAACCGAUCAUUUAAAACGAGGGCACGUGUUUGGUCCCCUUGUUCUUUAAAACGCCAGAAUAUUUCACCGCGCUCUUCGGUCUGUUAUUAUCAUCAGUAAUAAAUUGGCUCCUGUAAUAGCUCAUGCGGAUGAUCGUUGAGAUGUGAAAUAGUCUAGUUCCAGCAGAAGUAGGCCAAUCGCAGCUCUCAUUAAAAGUCGGGGAUCCGUUGCCCCUUCGGGAGCAAAAGAGAGCCCGGGGCAAAUUAAAGCAUCUUAAAGCCCGACUCAAUUCACAUUUAGUAGAUUUUAAACAAAACGAAAAACUGGGCCAGCUGUUGAUCUCAGACCGCCACAUCUGCUCUUCCUUCACAUGUCAUGUGUUCAGGCCGCCCGGUUUGGUCACACCGACCUUUCGUGAUCAUCCAAUGACGUCAAAAACGCAGAAUAUGUACAAGUAUGAAUGCUUGUAUCUGAUUUUACGGCAGUGAAUCUGCUUGUAAAAGAGAUUAGUUGGUCCAGCGGGUAGUUUUGCACAUUUACAGGCCUGCAGUAAAAAGUGUGUGACAUCUGAAAUAGAUUUUUUUUCUCAAUUCAACUGAACACGUGAUUCGCUGCUUGCAUUUCUGAUGCUUCCCUCAUCAGUUUAAACGGCAUUAAUAAACAUUCAGAAUAAAUACUGCACACGCUGUCAAUGAUGUAACACUAUGUUCCGAUAUUUACUCGAGUGUCAAUCGCGAGGCGUGCCGAUGCAACGUGCCUCCCACACACCCGUACAUGCAAAAGACUGAUUUCCUUUUAUUACUAAAUCUUUAAAUAAUCAUUUUAUGUUUUCGAAGGCUUUAACAUGUGGAUUAAAACGAGGCAGUGAUCAGUAGGCCUUUAGCCAGACUCCUUAUCACGACAGGGAGUAUUUGGAUCUUCUUUAAACAACGCAAUUGUGUUAAAGUGCAACACACGUGAUCAGUCUCCUCCUGUCACAUGGUGUCCGGCUGCUGUCAUCCUCAGUGGCCCGCAAGUCCAAUAAAACACGCUGGAAAUGUGUGUGUGUGUUUUUUAAAUUUAAUUUAUAUUAAAGGCCUACUUCUUCAUCCUGCUUCUAGAUCCCGUCAGCAUGGCGUCGGGCUUCAUCGGAGCGCGAGAGGGGGUCUGUUUCUGUCUUUGGUUAUCUAGCUGUAUGAGUUUUAAAUGCCUGUCAUAAAGCUAGAUAACCGAAAGUAGGAAUGACUUCCGGAACGUUGUUUUCAUCCCCGAAAGACGCGGGACUCCUUGAGCUUCCAACUGGGAAAAAGGUGAGGAAAUCGUUUUGCUUUGUGUGUGUGUGUGUGUGUGUUUUUUUUUUUAAGUUUGAUAAAAAAUAAAAUGAAACAAUUAGCAUUAAAUAAUCCCAAAUCGAUAAAAAACGUGUGUAUAAUGCAUUCGUUUUUAUGCUUCGUCAGUUAAUUUUUCUAUAUUCUUUUUAGUAUAGUAUACACACAUUUCCAGAGCUUUUUGCAGAACAAAAUGUUUAACUAGCUUCAGCAAUAUCAGUCAUGUUGGUCUGAAGAAAACAAAAAUACCGUUGAAAAAUUUGAAAAAAAAGUUAUCCCAGGAUGUCAUUAAUGGCUUUAGAGUGUAGUAGACAUUGUUUGUUUGUCUUUCUAUCUCAAUCCACUUUAUUUUAAGGAUUCAGUACAUGAGGUCCUUGUACAAAGGGUUUGCUGUCCAUUCAGGCCCUCUGCAACGUGGUGCUGCAUGUUAAACGGGUCGCUCCGCUGGAGGGGAACAGCACAGACCCCAACCGUUUUGUUUUCAUCCCGUGGAAGAAGAAGAUGAAAUUGAAUAAUACAUGCACAGAGUUCAUAUUACGUCAUAGUGUGUCUUUUUUCUCACAGGAGACAUUUAACUUGUCACAGAGGGGGAAGCACAAGUGUCACCAGUAACACUUAACAGAGGCUCUAUUCUAUUUCCAUGCUUCCAAUUUACGACAUUGAAUGAUCGUGGAUCCCUGAAAAGAGGCUCGAGCCAUCGUUGAAAGAAAUGGAAGCGAGAGCUGAGGAGAAAACGGUCGGUCCGGAAUUGCUACCUCCUCCUCCUCCUCCUCCUCCUCCUUCUUCCCCAUUAGUCGUCCUUUUUGCCCAAGAGCCUCUAACACCAUCUGUGCUGCCAACGGGGGUUGGAGGGGUGGGCGUGCCAGGACGCGGACAAAGACCCUUCCGGAUCCCCGGAGAACGGGCACGCUCAGAGGAGCCAUCUUGGGGAGAUGUUACCGCGAUACCUAAGAUGGCAGGCUGGCACACCGAGGACGGGGAACAGGAUCUGCCUCUCUGCGCUCUGAAGGAACCUGCUUGCGCGCGAGGACAUCCUGGACCAAACUCAACGAAAUACUGUCUUCAGAAAGUCUCAACAGAGAUCAUCAGUCACCUAAACGAGGAGAGCAGCCCUGUGUGGCAAAGGACACGUAGAAAGAAAAGAGCUACUGUACAAGCUGGAAAUGUGCCUGUUAUCCAUGUUCAUGAUAUUGUAUUAAUGUGUGUGAUACAUAUACAUUAUUUUUAAAAUUGCUGAAAACUUGAAUGUUCUCACCGAUAUAUCUAAAGUGCAUCUACAUGUUUUAAUGAAUAAUUUAUGAAACUGCUGUUCUCAUAUGUCUGAAAUGAAAUAGUAAUUUAUAAGACUGGAGUGCAUUACUGAAAAAGCUGAUUGUAUUUCUUCUUUGAAAUAAAUCAAUAAUGAAAAUAUUUUCAUCUCUGUGUUACAAUCGUGCUUUUGAGCAAUUAUUUCAGUGAUAAAUUAGGAAGGGAAACAAUAGAUUAUUACAAUGCGGACAACUGUUUUCAUGUUGAAUGUUUUCAAUAGCACUUUGUCUUUAAUCUUCAAUAAAAAAAUGAACAAGGAUCGAUCUAAAACA